rnacentral:lncRNA from 1 species
AUUGGGUUCCUGGGGAGAAAUUGAGCCUCUUCACUUCUGCCUGGUCUAAAUCGAGCAGUUCCUUGGUAACAGGCUCCAGGGUUUUGUGAUUGGCUAGCUGUGGAGGGAGUGGGAGGAGGGAAGUAAACUGCUGAUGGAGCUGCAGCAUCCCUGAGUCUCAGGCCGUGGGAGGGGGAGGGGAAGAGGAGGGCUGAGCAGUGGAGGGAAGAGGGAGCCAUUUCUCUCCAUUGACUGCAACCUCCGUGCUCACCACUCACAUUUUACUGGAAUCCAGAGGCCUCCGUGGCCAAGGGCUCCACAAUGCUGGAUAUUUUCAUCCUGAUGUUCUUUGCCAUUAUAGGCCUGGUCAUUCUGUCCUACAUUAUCUAUCUGCUCUAGGGGCCUGCAGCUACGGCAUGGAGCCUGCAGGAGAACAGCUCAGGGCGGAAGGAUGAAGCUGACUGGCCGAGCAUCCUGCCUGCUGACGCACCGGUGGAUUUUUGCUUCUGGUCAUUUCGGCUCCUGGACUCCAGUCCAACAAGAGGCCUCUUAUCAACAGCAGCAGUCCUGCUGCCCAGCAGACCUCUCCCAGAGCCUUCCGGAUAUGGUUAACCCCUGUCAAGCAAGGGGUUUUUUGAACUCAGAGGCAGAGCCACUCAGCUGGGACAUCAGGAAAGCAGCAUGGCUGGCAGAUGCUGCGUGCGUUUAAGUUGGAAGUAGAGGGUUGUCGAGAACACAGAGAGCUCCAGUGUAGGCUUGUUAAAGUUACUGUGGAGAACUGCUUAAAAAUUCAUUUUGAUAGCCAUUCCUUAGGUCUAAAUGCACCUGCAUAUUAUGCUAGAAUACAUUCUUUCCUUUCUCCCUCACAGGGGUUCCCUUGUAAGUUCAAAAGUCUGUUGUCUCUUCAUCUAUGAAGCAAUCACUUUAUCACUGUCUUUAAAGAUUGCACAAUCUGGGGUUGUGUGGUUUCCCGUGUCUCACUCUCUGGAAGGAACUUGUCAUUUGAGUUUUUAGAUUUUUCAUAUCUUCCCCACUCCAUAUCUCUUGUGCUCCAGCUUCUCAUUUAAAGAGAGAAACAGUUACACAGUCCUCAUUCUUUUUGCCUAGCUGAAUUAUAAAUUACUGAAACAAGAUGUCUUUAUUUAUCUUACUUGUUAUUUGGGAAAAAUCUCUCUCUUACACUCAAAUAAAUGGGUUUUUAUAUUGUCAAAUGUUCCUUUUCUUAAACAAAAAAUUUCAACAUAUUUCUGUUAGAUGUUGAAGAAACCAUUAAUUUGGCGGGCCAGAAUAGACUAGGGUGUUGAAUCUGUGGUAUCUAUUCCUUUGAGUAGUCCAUUGUGAUAGUUCUACAUUCGAUUUUUCUUUCUACUUAAAAAUAAACAAGGAGAAGGAUUAAUUUAAGAGUUUUUAUUCAUAACAUUGUGUUCAAUUUCC